AACCAUAGAAACCUGCGGAGUACCUGCGGAAGGAUCAUUACAGAGUUGCAAAACUCCCUAAGCCAUUGUGAACGUUACCUAAACCGUUGCUUCGGCGGGCGGCCCGGGUCCUUCCCGGCGCCCAUCGGCCCUCGCGGGCGCCCGCCGGAGGUAAACCAAACUAUUGCAUUGUAUGGCCUCUCUGAGUCUUCUGUACUGAAUAAGUCAAAACUUUCAACAAUGGAUCUCAGAUCGGAAGAG
rnacentral:misc_RNA from 1 species